GAUGAACGCUGGCGGCGUGCCUAAUACAUGCAAGUCGAGCGAACAGACGAGGAGCUUGCUCCUCUGACGUUAGCGGCGGACGGGUGAGUAACACGUGGAUAACCUACCUAUAAGACUGGGAUAACUUCGGGAAACCGGAGCUAAUACCGGAUAAUAUAUUGAACCGCAUGGUUCAAUAGUGAAAGACGGUUUUGCUGUCACUUAUAGAUGGAUCCGCGCCGCAUUAGCUAGUUGGUAAGGUAACGGCUUACCAAGGCAACGAUGCGUAGCCGACCUGAGAGGGUGAUCGGCCACACUGGAACUGAGCCACGGUCCAGACUCCUACGGGAGGCAGCAGUAGGGAAUCUUCCGCAAUGGGCGAAAGCCUGACGGAGCAACGCCGCGUGAGUGAUGAAGGUCUUCGGAUCGUAAAACUCUGUUAUUAGGGAAGAACAAAUGUGUAAGUACCUAUGCACGUCUUGACGGUACCUAAUCAGAAAGCCACGGCUAACUACGUG
rnacentral:rRNA from 1 species